AGAGUUUGAUCCUGGCUCAGAUUGAACGCUGGCGGCAGGCCUAACACAUGCAAGUCGAGCGGUAGAGAGUCUGUGCUUGCACCUCUUGAGAGCGGCGACGGGUGAGUAAUACCUAGGAAUCUGCCUGGUAGUGGGGGAUAACGUUCGGAAACGGACGCUAAUACCGCAUACGUCCUACGGGAGAAAGCAGGGGACCUUCGGGCCUUGCGCUAUCAGAUGAGCCUAGGUCGGAUUAGCUAGUUGGUGAGGUAAUGGCUCACCAAGGCUACGAUCCGUAACUGGUCUGAGAGGAUGAUCAGUCACACUGGAACUGAGACACGGUCCAGACUCCUACGGGAGGCAGCAGUGGGGAAUAUUGGACAAUGGGCGAAAGCCUGAUCCAGCCAUGCCGCGUGUGUGAAGAAGGUCUUCGGAUUGUAAAGCACUUUAAGUUGGGAGGAAGGGCAUUAACCUAAUACGUUAGUGCUUUGACGUUACCGACAGAAUAAGCACCGGCUAACUCUGUGCCAGCAGCCGCGGUAAUAC
rnacentral:rRNA from 1 species